UAGGGAAUCUUCCACAAUGGACGCAAGUCUGAUGGAGCAACGCCGCGUGAGUGAAGAAGGUUUUCGGACCGUAAAGCUCUGUUGUUGGUGAAGAAGGAUAGAGGUAGUAACUGGCCUUUAUUUGACGGUAAUCAACCAGAAAGUCACGGCUAACUACGUGCCAGCAGCCGCGGUAAUACGUAGGUGGCAAGCGUUGUCCGGAUUUAUUGGGCGUAAAGCGAG
rnacentral:rRNA from 1 species